CCCUCUUUGGAUCUACAUCCGUCAGCGUUGUACGCCCGCGGGUGCCAUUACG
rnacentral:sRNA from 1 species